AUGCGCCAAGGCGUCUCUCGCUCGGCAAACGCUCUUUGCCGGCUCUAUGCCGACGGCCUCCCGCCACCGCGCCGUCGGCAAACCCCGGCUACAAUCUGCAAUCCCCCCCAAACCCUACACAGCCCGGCUUACCCCUCCCAUCCCCCCACUUGCGUCUCCAUCCUCUCCGCCCUCUUCCACUCGCGCCGCCGCUCGUCCCUGCGUCCGAGCCUGCCGUUUAGGAAGGUCGCGCUCGGAUCGCACGUCGGAACAAGAGAAACCGGCCGGCACUCAGGGAGGGUCGGCCCGGCGACGAUGGCGGAAGACCGAAGCUGGAUGUACACGGGCCGCCAGAGCAGGGAGAAGUUCACCCCCGAGUGGCUGGAGAAGACGACCGAGUUCCUGGAGCGCGCCUUCCGCAUCCUCCCGCCGGGGCGCCAGGCCGUGCUGUGCCCCUGCGCUCGCUGCCAGUUCAGGCUGUACAGACCGAAGGACGAGAUUCAGCUGCAUCUGUUCAAGAACGGGUUCGCGCCAGGGUACACGGUGUGGGUGUACCACGGCGAGCGCCACAACCCCCAGCCUGCAAAGCCUAAGCCGUCCGACGACCACCCCAAAGAGAAUGGCGAUCUCGACGGGAAGAAGGAUGGCGCCGGCGGCGGCGAGCAAGUGCCGAAACCGGCGCAGGGGACGAAGAAGUGGGCGUGCGCAAGCGGCAAGCCACCAAAGAAGGAUCAGCUGUGGGCACGGGCUGCGGCGCAGGGAGAGGGAGGCCCGGCGGCGACGGCGGAGGACCGCAGCUGGAUGUACACGGGCCGGCAGAGCAGGCAGACCAUCACCCCCGAGUGGGCGGAGAAGACGACCGAGUUCGUGGAGCGCGCCUUCCGCGGCGUCCCGCCGGACUAUGGCAUGCUGUGCCCCUGCGCGCGCUGCCGCAACCGCAACAGGAUACCGAGGACCAAGUUCGACAUGACGAUGGAUCUGGGCAGGAACGGCUUCAUGCCAGGGUACACGGUGUGGGUGCACCACGGCGAGGGCCCCAACCCCCAGCCUGCCAAGCCGUCCGACGCCCAUGGGAAGAAGGAUGGCGGCGGCGGCGGCGAGCAAGUGUCAAAACCGCAGGAGACUAAGGAGUGGGAGAUUUCCCAUCUUGAGGCGUAUGCAAGAGGCCGUCUACCAAAGGGGACUAGUCAAAUGGAGUGGAGCUACCAGAAAUACCUGUGGGAGCAAAAGAAAGCCAAGCUGCAACAGGAACAGAGUGAGCCAAAGGCAAAGAGGCUGCUCACGUUUGCUGAAGAGGAAGGGAGCAAUGUCGACGUCCCUGAACCUGAAGUUGAAGAUACAGCAACGACAACAGCUGAUGCUCCUGUAGCUAAUCCGGCAAUGACAGCAAACGCCGGUGGAGUUCAGAUCCCAGCUGGACCGACUGCUCGUCCCAAGCGCAAGGCAGGCCCGCCCGGGUGGUAUUCAGGUUCAGAUUGGGUCCAUUGA
rnacentral:rRNA from 1 species